rnacentral:rRNA from 1 species
CCGGCGACCGGCGAACGGGUGAGUAACACGUAUGCAACCUGCCCUCUUCAGGGGGACAACCUUCCGAAAGGGAGGCUAAUCCCGCGUAUAUCGGUUUCGGGCAUCCGAGAUCGAGGAAAGAUUCAUCGGAAGAGGAUGGGCAUGCGGCGCAUUAGCUAGACGGCGGGGUAACGGCCCACCGUGGCGACGAUGCGUAGGGGUUCUGAGAGGAAGGUCCCCCACACUGGUACUGAGACACGGACCAGACUCCUACGGAAGGCAGCAG